CAGUCGCCGCGGUAAUACGUAGGGUGCAAGCGUUAAUCGGAAUUACUGGGCGUAAAGCGUGCGCAGGCGGUCCGCUAAGACAGAUGUGAAAUCCCCGGGCUUAACCUGGGAGCUGCAUUUGUGACUGGCGGGCUAGAGUAUGGCAGAGGGGGGUAGAAUUCCACGUGUAGCAGUGAAAUGCGUAGAGAUGUGGAGGAAUACCGAUGGCGAAGGCAGCCCCCUGGGCCAAUACUGACGCUCAUGCACGAAAGCGUGGGGAGCAAACAGGAUUAGAUACCCGCGUAGUCCCUGUCUCUUAUAC
rnacentral:rRNA from 1 species